GAUGAACGCUGGCGGCGUGCCUAAUACAUGCAAGUCGAGCGAACGGACGAGAAGCUUGCUUCUCUGAUGUUAGCGGCGGACGGGUGAGUAACACGUGGAUAACCUACCUAUAAGACUGGGAUAACUUCGGGAAACCGUAGCUAAUACCGGAUAAUAUUUUGAACCGCAUGGUUCAAAAGUGAAAGACGGUCUUGCUGUCACUUAUAGAUGGAUCCGCGCUGCAUUAGCUAGUUGGUAAGGUAACGGCUUACCAAGGCAACGAUGCAUAGCCGACCUGAGAGGGUGAUCGGCCACCCUGGAACCGAGACACGGUCCCGACCUCUACGGGAGGCAGCCGGUGGGAAUCUUCCGCAAAGGGCGAAAGCCUUACGGAGCAACGCCGCGUGAGUGAUGAAGGUCUUCGGAUCGUAAAACUCUGUUAUUAGGGAAGAACAUAUGUGUAAGUAACUGUGCACAUCUUGACGGUACCUAAUCAGAAAGCCACGGCUAACUACGUG
rnacentral:rRNA from 1 species